rnacentral:misc_RNA from 1 species
AAGUUUUUUUAAUGAUUUCUAAGACCUCAUCAACUUCUUCAAUAACAGAGAUCUUAUCAUUCACAUCAAAACAAGCUUCAAGCAAUAUUUGGUAGAGUCGGAGAUUCAAUGGUGUUCCAUCUGCCCAAUGGCAUAUCUCAGGGCUCGACCCAUCAAAUGAUCUGCAGGCGAGGGACGUGGAAAGAUUUCGUAGUUCUAGCAUUGAUUCACUGUGCUUCGUAGUUUCCAUGGGUUUCACCAGAGCCCCACGUAUAAUCUGCUGAAGCUGUUUUGGACGUGUAUCUAUCUCAUCCAGCGGCAAGCAUGGAUGCAAGACAAGUCCAGCCUCUAGUAGCUUCAAGUUUCUCCUCUGCCACACUUCAUAUUCCUGCGGAUUUGGAAAAUCUGAGAUUUUGAACUGCUGUAAGAGCUCCAGUGGUAGAACCAUUGACUCAAGACGUCUUCCAAGCUGUCCAGCAGCAACUCUCAAGAAGGCUCGUCGGACCCUAGUAUCAGUUGGCUCUGAAAUCCCCAUUUGUACCCUCAUAAGCUCAGCAACACCAACAGUAGAAGCCUUUUUCCCACUCACCGAUUCUAAAUUCUUCUUCAAACCAAGCGCCUUCUUCACUUUACUAGCCGCCUUGGACGAUGAUGAUGAGGUAGACGAUUUAACGGAGCUGGAAACAUAUUUCAAUGUCUUGCCAGAGUUAAAGCUCCGGCAAGCACCGACAAGGAUCUCAUAUGCAGCUUCCCGGAGCUCCGAUUGGGUGAAGUCUACGGCCAAUUCUCCAAAGGGGUAGGUAAGUUCAUCGGAGGGUGAAAUGGCAACUUUUUU